rnacentral:tRNA from 1 species
GGGUCCAGGAAGGUUCCAUCGGCAAGCUUGACACUUCGCUGAUCCGGGUUCGAUUCCCGGUGGAUCCACCA